AACAUUACGCCCUCAUUUUCUUGAAAAUCUUUUCCACAAAUCCUUCAUGGUUUUUGCUGCUCGAUUAUUGUCGCGAUGGAAAUGUUGAGAGCUUGUCAAACGCUACUCGUUUGGCAGAGGUGUUUCACAAGAGAAGGGGUUGGAGUUGUAGGAGUACGGGAGCUUUCCUUUCAAAGACAAGGACUUCCUACGCGAGUUUCAAGAUGAGAGGCAUUGAUCAAAAGCUCCAAGGCUUUAAAGUUUGAAGGCAUAUAGUGAUUUUGGAGAUCUUAUGUGAUGACUGAGACCAUAACCAAGCGCCUCCCGUUAAACACCAUCUUGAUUCACUCUCUCUCCACUUACCAGGCGAUCACGUGGCAUCAGCCCUCCUUUUUGUUUUCUCUCCAGCGCACUCCCUCUCCCGUCCGUCGCCGCUGCACACUCCCGCCCGCGGCUAUCGCCC
rnacentral:lncRNA from 1 species